rnacentral:SRP_RNA from 1 species
ACCGGAAGGCUGGCGGGCGAAUGUCUCGCCAAUCCGGUCAGGGCCGAAAGGCAGCAGCCGUAACGAGUUUAUCCGGGUCGUCGGUCUUCCACUUUC